UACAGAGGGUGCAAGCGUUGUUCGGAAUUAUUGGGCGUAAAGCGCGUGUAGGCGGCUUUGCAAGUCGGGUGUGAAAGCCCUCAGCUCAACUGAGGAAGUGCGCCCGAAACUGCAGAGCUUGAGUACCGGAGAGGAUGGCGGAAUUCCCCAAGUAGAGGUGAAAUUCGUAGAUAUCUGGAGGAACACCGGUGGCGAAGGCGGCAUCCUGGACCGAUACUGACGCUGAUGAGCGAAAGCCAGGGGAGCAAACGGG
rnacentral:rRNA from 1 species